GACGAACGCUGUUGGCGUGCCUAACACAUGCAAGUCGAGCGAAAUGAGUACUACGGUACGAACUUAGCGGCGGACGGGUGAGUAACGCGUGGACAAUCUACCCUGUAGACUGGGAUAACACCUCGAAAGGGGUGCUAAUACCGGAUAAUGUCGAGAAGCGGCAUCGCUUUUCGAAGAAAGGAGAGAAUCCGCUAUAGGAGGAGUCCGCGUCCCAUUAGCUAGUUGGUGAGGGUAACGGCCCACCAAGGCGACGAUGGGUAGCCGACCUGAGAGGGUGAACGGCCACACUGGAACUGAGACACGGUCCAGACUCCUACGGGAGGCAGCAGUGGGGAAUAUUGUGCAAUGGGGGAAACCCUGACACAGCAACGCCGCGUGAGCGAAGAAGGCCUUCGGGUUGUAAAGCUCAAUAGUAUGGGAAGAUAAUGACGGUACCAUACGAAAGCCCCGGCUAACUACGUGCCAGCCGCCGCAGUAACAC
rnacentral:rRNA from 1 species